AGGCCCUGCAGUCGCAGGCCUUGCACGCCACCUCGCAGCAGCCCCUGAGGAAGGACAAGGACAAGAAGAAAUCAGAUAUAGGAGCACACCAGCCGGGCAUGAGCCUCUCCAGCUCUAAGGUGAUGAUGACCAAGGCCAGUGUGGAGCCCUUGAACUGCAGCAGCUGGUGGCCCGCCAUACAGUGCUGCAGCUGCCUGGUCAGGGAUGCGACGUGGAGGGAAGGAUUCCUCUGAGGCAGCAGCUCCAACACAUGGGGCCAGCUCAGGACCACCAGGGCAUGGAACUGGAGACCAUGGUUUUUAAUGUUAGAACAGAAAACCCCAUACUUUUCAUAUAUCAAUGACCAAAAGUGCAAACAAUUUAAAUUUCCAUCAGGGAACAUCAAAUGUUGCCCAACCCUUUUCAUUCCUAUCCAUGGCUCCGUAAGGGGCUUGAGGCCUAAUGCCCAUCCUGUGGCCAAGCUGAGCUUCCACUCCGAGACAAAAAAAAAAGAGUCUGCUUUGUGACAUCAUCCUUAUGAGCAGAAAGUACCUAGAUGACAAUGUUUCCAUUCUGAAAAAUAGAAACAUACUAUUCAAGACCAAGGUAGCAGAAAAGUUACUUGUAUCUGCUUAUCAUAAGAAGAAACUCUGCAACUUGGCAACAGUGGCCAGUUUAAAUAAUGAAACAGCCUUUAAUAAUUUAAUCUUCAUGCUUCAUAACAAACCAAAAGCCCAUGAGAUUUCCACAUUGCAUAAUUUUGCCUUACUAACAGAAUCAUAUCCUUAAGGAUGACCAUCAUUCCCCCC
rnacentral:sRNA from 1 species